rnacentral:rRNA from 1 species
CGGAGGGUGCGAGCGUUGUCCGGAAUCAUUGGGCGUAAAGGGCGCGUAGGUGGCCUGUGCAAGCGUGCGGUGAAAGCUCGGGGCUCAACCCCGGGUCGGCCGUGCGAACUGCUGGGCUCGAGCACUGUAGAGGCAGGCGGAAUUCCGGGUGUAGCGGUGGAAUGCGUAGAGAUCCGGAAGAACACCGGUGGCGAAGGCGGCCUGCUGGGCAGUGGCUGACACUGAGGCGCGACAGCGUGGGGAGCAAACAGGAUUAGAUACCCUGGUAGUCCACGCCGUAAACGAUGGGCACUAGGCGCUUGGGGGAGCGACCCUCCGAGGGCCGGCGCUAACGCAUUAAGUGCCCCGCCUGGGGAGUACGGCCGCAAGGCUG